rnacentral:rRNA from 1 species
GACGAACGCUGGCGGCGUGCUUAACACAUGCAAGUCGAACGGAGAGGCCCUGCUUUUGUGGGGUGCUCGAGUGGCGAACGGGUGAGUAACACGUGAGUAACCUGCCCUUGACUUUGGGAUAACUUCAGGAAACUGGGGCUAAUACCGGAUAGGAGCUCCUGCUGCAUGGUGGGGGUUGGAAAGUUUCGGCGGUUGGGGAUGGACUCGCGGCUUAUCAGCUUGUUGGUGGGGUAGUGGCUUACCAAGGCUUUGACGGGUAGCCGGCCUGAGAGGGUGACCGGCCACAUUGGGACUGAGAUACGGCCCAGACUCCUACGGGAGGCAGCAGUGGGGAAUAUUGCACAAUGGGCGGAAGCCUGAUGCAGCAACGCCGCGUGCGGGAUGACGGCCUUCGGGUUGUAAACCGCUUUCGCCUGUGACGAAGCGUGAGUGAUGGUAAUGGGUAAAGAAGCACCGGCUAACUACGUG